GCUGGCCACAAUUGGGCCAGACCUGGGUGGCCCAAAUGCUUUAACUCUGUAAAAGAACACCCAUGCCCAGCCCAAAUAAUAAAUCCCCGACCCAGUCCACAAAAUACGUCCCAAAACGACACCAUUUUGGGGACGAAUCAUCACAGCCAUUGAUCUCAGGCCAUCCAAUGGACCUGGAUCAUUCCCAAAACCCCCUUAUAUAUGUCCAAAUCCCUCUAUACACACAAAGACAAAACUAACCAUCUUUCUCGUACAAACACUCCUGUUGUAACACCACCCUCUUCCCCGUCCUGUGGUCGGCUUCCUUCGAAAAAAUCCCCAUCUUUUCAAAUAUUCAAUAGAAGGAUCGCCGGAACCACCGUCUCCAGUGACCCAACCCCAAACCAACCCAAAGUUACACCCUUGAACCACCUCCCCUCCCUCUUUCCAACCAUCCAUACCUUGCCCUUCGAAUCCAAAUGAAACGGAUCAAAUAUUACAUCAAAGUUUACCCUAAAUACUAAAACCACCGGAACUUGUUCAAACUGGUCUGCGAUGACCCUCUUCUGUCCCUCUCCCUAACUCUACCACCCACAGCCCGCAAACACAAAUGACCACGAAGGAAAAUCAGAUCUGAGACUUCACUUGGUAUCAGAAUCACAAAACCCCACCCCUGAACCCUUCGUCCCUCUCCGAUACUCAAGGCAUAAUGCCUUAGAGGUUAAAAAUCUCCCAAGAAGAGGUCAGAAACUCAUUGGAACUGGAAAAAUUCUAAGCUAGGUUUGCAUGCACGAAAAGUUAAGUGUCCUGUCUCUUAAUUCUUUGUCAAUGCUUGUGUUUUGUAGAUAUUUCUUGCCUCAAUUACUUUAUUUUCCUUUUUACUUGUCUUCUGUAUUUUCAUAGUCAUUUCGGUUUGUUAUUCUUCUGGCUACCUUUAGUCUUAUUGAUCUUCUGAGUAGUAUGAACUUAGGCUCACCCUUGUGCUACUGAGUUUUGUUUGUUCAUAUCUGAAAGUCCUGAAAUACACAUCGUCUCUGCUUUAUACCAUGCUUGAAAUUCUGGGUAGGUUUCUUUUAGAAUCUUAUACUAAAUUUGCAUUUGUUAAGGCUAAGUUUGUGUAAAUAUUGUUAAUUUCUGAUAUUAGUCUUGUUCUCGUAUAGCCUGGGUAUUUAAUCUCCUUUCUUGCUUCUAAGUUUUACUGAUUUUUGUAAUUGGGUUACUUCUGUAAGUCCUGCAUUAGUUGAUUGGUUUCCUUUCCUGGUCGAUUUGAUCCAUUGGUUUUGACAUAAAGAUGCCUGAACUAUUUUGUAAGUCCUGAAUUAAUUGAUUGGUUUCCUUUCCUGGUCGUUUUGAUUCAUUGUUUUUGACAUAAAAAUGCAUGAAUAUUCAUAUGAUCCUGAAGUUAUGAUAAUUGUUACUGAAUAGUCCACAUUAAGAUAUUUGUUUGAAACCUGAAUUGUAUUGAUUAAUUCUUAAACUCUUCAAUUAAGCCUGUAGUCCAGACCAUGAAAUUGGCCCAUAACUUGAAUGCAAUUGACUAGGGUCCGAUUUGACCAAACCAAAUGGAAACCAAGGGUAAAAACCAUAGGUCACUUAAUUAGGAAAAGGGACAGGGGUAUAGAGGGUAUUUAAACAUAAAGAAUCCUGUAACAACCCCCUAGAACAUUCUAGUGAGGGGCUUAAGCAUAAUUGCUGCCUCAAACUUGAGGCACAAGUCAGAAAAUUAAGGACUAUUUAGGUAAAAAUGAAAUUUGAGUAAGGGACUAAUAGGAAAACAAAGGAAUUGGUGUUGCCCUAAGGCUUCACUUA
rnacentral:lncRNA from 1 species